rnacentral:rRNA from 1 species
UUGGAGGGCAAGUCUGGUGCCAGCAGCCGCGGUAAUUCCAGCUCCAAUAGCGUAUAUUAAAGUUGUUGCAGUUAAAAAGCUCGUAGUUGAAUUUCGAGAUCAAAUUGUUGGUCGUGCCUCGGUACGUACUGGCAUUAUUGAUUUCUCCCUUCUGAAGAACCACGAUGUCAUUAAUUUGGUGUCGUGGGGAAUCAGGACUGUUACUUUGAAAAAAUUAGAGUGUUUAAAGCAGGCUCACGCUUGAAUACAUUAGCAUGGAAUAAUGAAAUAGGACGUUUGAUUCUAUUUUGUUGGUUUCUAGGAUCGACGUAAUGAUUAAUAGGGAUAGUUGGGGGCAUUAGUAUUCAAUUGUCAGAGGUGAAAUUCUUGGAUUUAUUGAAGACUAACUACUGCGAAAGCAUUUGCCAAGGAUGUUUUCAUUAAUCAAGAACGAAAGUUAGGGGAUCGAAGACGAUCAGAUACCGUCGUAGUCUUAACCAUAAACUAUGCCGACUAGGGAUCGGAUGAUGUUAAUUUUUUAAUGACUCAUUCGGCGCCUUACGGGAAAC